rnacentral:rRNA from 1 species
UACGGGGGGGGCAAGCGUUGUUCGGAAUUACUGGGCGUAAAGGGCUCGUAGGCGGCCAACUAAGUCAGACGUGAAAUCCCUCGGCUUAACCUGGGAACUGCGUCGGAUACUGGAUGGCUUGAAUCCGGGAGAGGGAUGCGGAAUUCCAGGUGUAGCGGUGAAAUGCGUAGAUAUCUGGAGGAACACCGGUGGCGAAGGCGGCAUCCUGGACCGGCAUUGACGCUGAUGAGCGAAAGCCAGGGGAGCAAACGGG